rnacentral:sRNA from 1 species
GCUGGGCAUGGUGGCGCAUGCCUGUAAUCCUAGCUAUAUGGGAGGCUGAGGCAAGAGGAUCACAAUUUGAGGCCAGCUCUAGUAAUUUAUGGAGACCCUGUGUCAA